UAGGGAAUCUUCCGCAAUGGACGAAAGUCUGACGGAGCAACGCCGCGUGAGCGAUGAAGGCCUUCGGGUCGUAAAGCUCUGUUGUUAGGGAAGAACAAGUACCGGAGUAACUGCCGGUACCUUGACGGUACCUAACCAGAAAGCCACGGCUAACUACGUGCCAGCAGCCGCGGUAAUACGUAGGUGGCAAGCGUUGUCCGGAAUUAUUGGGCGUAAAGCGCGCGCAGGCGGUCCUUUAAGUCUGAUGUGAAAGCCCACGGCUCAACCGUGGAGGGUCAUUGGAAACUGGGGGACUUGAGUGCAGAAGAGGAAAGUGGAAUUCCACGUGUAGCGGUGAAAUGCGUAGAGAUGUGGAGGAACACCAGUGGCGAAGGCGACUUUCUGGUCUGUAACUGACGCUGAGGCGCGAAAGCGUGGGGAGCAAACA
rnacentral:rRNA from 1 species